rnacentral:rRNA from 1 species
GACGAACGCUGGCGGCGUGCUUAACACAUGCAAGUCGCGCGAAGUGGCGAACGGGUGAGUAACGCGUAAUCAACCUGCCCUUCAGAGGGGGACAACAGUUGGAAACGACUGCUAAUACCGCAUACUGAAGUAGGGGAUUGCGUCUGAUUAGCUAGUGGGAGGGUUAACGGCCCACCAAGGCGCUGAUCAGUAGCAGGGCUGAGAGGAUGAAAGGCCACAGUUGGACUGAGAAACGGCCAAGACUCCUACGGGAGGCAGCAGUGGGGAAUGUGCCGCAAUGGACGAAAGUCUGACGGAGCAACGCCGCGGGAGUGAUGACGGCCUUCGGGUGGGAAAGCUCUGUUAAUCGGGACGAGGUACCGGAAUAGAAAGCCACGGCUAACUACGUGCCAGCAGCCGCGGUAAUUC